AUACGGGGAAUAAGAUAUAGUGAUGCCGACAAUUCAAUAACUAAUCAAGAAAGUAACUCACUGAACUGAACCAGCUCCCACUAAACAAAACAAGCUUAAAAUGGGGCUUGUUCUUGAACAAACCUUACUGUAGAAAAAAGGAGAUUUUCUUUGUCGGCUUGACUAAACUUUCUUUUUCUUAUACUCCCCUUUGAGAAGAGAAGGAAUAGAAAUUGAGAAAGAGAUAUUCGUGGGCCGUUAAACGACCACCUAUGAACCUUUUUAAUAAGCUUUUCCUCGCGGGAAUUACAUGAAUAAAGAAUCAUCCUUUUCGUAUACAUUUCAUAGACCUCCCUAUUAGCCUACUAA
rnacentral:lncRNA from 1 species